AAUUUUUAAAAAAUUAAAAAAAAAAAAGAAUUCUCUCUCCCUCUCCCUCAGCCCCUUCCUUCUGUCCCGCUCACACUCUCUUAUCUCAAAUAGAUCUUAAAUUUCUUUUUAAUUUAAAAUUAAAAAAAAAUAAAAAUAAAGCUAAAAAGACAGUGGGGAGAUGACAGAAACUCUCCAGUGCUGCCUCAAAGUGCCCAAAUGGGGAACUAUGCUUCCCAAGCAAGUAGCUAUCCGGGCUUUGGCAGCUCUGCUGGAAAGCAAGGAACCUGAGGAAGAAGCCGAGGAGUUUAAUUAAUCCAACCAGGCAAUAUCCUGAUUCUGGAAAAGCACUCAAGCCACCUAAUCAAAGAACUCUGGUCUUUUUUCACAGAACAAAUGCAGUAACCAAGGACACUGGGGAGGCCCUCCCCACCUGCUCUCUGUUAAUUCUGCUGCCCAACAUACACUUGGGAGGGAGAGAGGGAGACUGUAGAAGACAGUCUUAAACAUCCAGGGACUCAUUUGCACCAAAGGAUUUGAGUUUUUGGAGGGUAUUAUGAUCUUCCGUGCUUGCUAUGGAACUUCCUGGGACAGAAGUAACACCUGGUGAUGCCAGACCAAGGUCUGAGGAUGGGAAGAGGAGACUAUGGACCAAACUGGGAAGGCAAUGCCAGGAGAUCCUUCCUGAUCCAACAUACCAUGGAGCCACAGAAUGAGGACUGGCCAACACAGGCCAACUAUUCUAUAUCAGACCCUGAAUUUGGCAGGAAGGAAAACAAGGCAGACUUAUUGCUUCAAAAGACCCCAUUGACUUUUAUGUUUCUUUCUGCAAUGUGUGGCCAGAGGAGACCUAUCUCAGAAAGAGAGUCGAGGCAACCCAGGAAUUGAGACCCCCAGGCGCUUAGUCCUCCAUCGCCCGCAUCUAGCCUUUGGGUUCCUUUCCUUUCUUCUUUAUGCUCUUGCCAUCAACUCACCGGCAAUCUGCUUCAUGAAUGUCAUGCACACACCAUCGGCUCCCAGAACCCCACUCUUCACUAGUUCCCGUACCAACCACACCAACUAAAGGAGAGAGGAAAAGAUGGAUGAAGAGGAGGGCCUGUGAAUUUGAGAGAGAGGACCCAUCAUCUGUGAUGUCUCUGAGCUGGAUCUCUCUUCUCCUGGCCUUACCUGAGUACGGCAGGUAUCCUGCAACUUCAGGUACUUCUCCAUGAGUAUCUGGUUGAUCUUAUUCAGGACGAUAUUCAUGCCAUCACGACUCACCAGAGCCAAGUCCCGGUAACACUGUGAGAAGCAAGGUUUUUAAGCAGCCGGCAGAUUGAGGACAGGCUCCCCCCUUUCCCCUUAAAUUCCACCCAUGGGAUUUAAGUGGCAACAAAAGACCUUCCGCUCUGGAUGCUGUCCUUCCACAGGGCUCCUCCAUCCUGAACCCACCCCUGGCCCUGUCACACAAGGUGAGGAGAAGGAGCAAAGCUGCUCUGCUAAGGCUCCUUGUCAGGGCACCUGGGUGACUCUGGUUGAGCGUCUGCCUUUGGCUCGUGAUCCUGGAAUCAAGUCCCGCAUCGGGCUCCCCACAGGGAGCCUGCUUCUCCUUCUGCCUGUGUC